rnacentral:rRNA from 1 species
AGCGAACGCUGGCGGCAGGCCUAACACAUGUAAGUCGAGCGCCCCGCAAGGGGAGCGGCGGACGGGUGAGUAACGCGUGGGAACGUACCCUUUGCUACGGAAUAGCCUCGGGAAACUGGGAGUAAUACCGUAUGUGCCCUUCGGGGGAAAGAUUUAUCGGCAAAGGAUCGGCCCGCGUUGGAUUAGGUAGUUGGUGGGGUAAUGGCCUACCAAGCCGACGAUCCAUAGCUGGUUUGAGAGGAUGAUCAGCCACACUGGGACUGAGACACGGCCCAGACUCCUACGGGAGGCAGCAGUGCGGAAUAUUAGACAAUGGGCGCAAGCCUGAUCUAGCCAUGCCGCGUGAGCGAUGAAGGCCUUAGGGUUGUAAAGCUCUUUCAGUGGGGAAGAUAAUGACUGUACCCACAGAAGAAGCCCCGGCUAACUCCGUGCCAGCAGCCGCGGUAA